GCACGCUUGUCAUCUUUAUUAUUUCUCCAACUGUGCACAUAUUGUAGACUUGGGAGGGAGGAUUUGCUGUAGUCAGCUUUUGCCUUGCAUUUUAAUUUCCAAGUCUAUGUUGCUUUUCACAAUCUCUGAAUGUGUUUGGAUGUGGAUAAAUGAAAAACAUAUAAUACAACUUUCAGCAAUGGAUCUCUUGGCUCUCGCAUCGAUGAAGAACGCAGCGAAAUGCGAUAAGUAAUGUGAAUUGCAGAAUUCAGUGAAUCAUCGAAUCUUUGAACGCAUCUUGCGCUCCUUGGUAUUCCGAGGAGCAUGCCUGUUUGAGUGUCAUCAAGUUCUCAACUACAUCGAUCCUUUCGGUGUGGCUUUUGGAUAUGGGAGGUUGCAGGCCAUUUAAAGUCGGCUCUCCUGAAAUGAAUUAGUGGUAUCUGAGUGAACUACUAUGGGUGUGAUAAAUUUAUCUAUGCCCUGGUAUGCUGCAUUCACUGCUUC
rnacentral:rRNA from 1 species